rnacentral:lncRNA from 1 species
CAGAAUUUGAUUAAGCUAUCUGCAUAGGGACUGCUUGCCCACCAUUCAUGGGGGCUCCUGGAAUGACUGCUAAUGCGGAUACUUGGACCCUGGUGAGGCCACGGCUCUGUGUGUGUUUGCUAAAAUGACUGAGCAACAGUCCCACUCGGGGUAAGCCAGAGGUGAGUCCAGGGCCAGGACAAAGGCUGACAUUACCUCUUCCCCGUUCCCCUUCCUCUGCCCCAAAGGGUGUAGAGAGAGGAGGAGACAGAGGGCUGGGGAUGCCAUGAGUCAUUAAGGAGGGUGGAGGGGUGAUACGGAGCUAUUUGGAGAAAGAGAUUUCUCUCACUCAAGAGAGGUUUUUUCUCCCUUUGACAAAUUUAGCUGAAGGAAUCUGACAACAAACCACAAGCUUUCUUUGUCAGGGUGAGCGGACAAGAACCAUGUGAAAUAUUUUCCCACGCCGCUUCUACCCCUCACAGGCUGCUGCCUAAGUAGUUUCCAUUUUCCGCCUAUUUUCCCCAUGCUGGAGGUCAAACAGUAAUCGAAAAGUUGACAUCACUGUUGGUCACUGUGUGGUUCUGCUCAUUGGCAGGGAAGUCAGAAGAGAGCUCCUCCUCACUGUUCGCUUGUUGCGAGGUUGCCCCAGCAGGCAGGCUCUGCACCUGUUUGUGAAAGUGAUGCAGACACACAGGGCCCGGGCUGUGGAGCCUCCGCUGCCAGCCUCCUGACUGCACAUUCUGGAGGGUGGGUGCCCAGUCUUCCUGAGCACUGGAAGGAGGCACUCGCUAUGACUCAUCUUAAUAAAAGGAUCACCACAAAGAACUCGUUCUGAAUUACACCAAGUCCCUGAUUCUCAAAAAUUACUUUUGGCCCCAGAAUGUCUUUCCCUCUGUUCUUGAGGUUUGUCACUCAGUUGUGUUGCUUGACUCUGGCCGGAGCCCUUUGCAAUGUCCAACUCUCGAAGCCGAGCUCACAAUGAGCCCUGAGAUGGUGGAGUGGCGGGCUGGCCAGCGAGGGAGGCUGCUCAGGUGGUAUCAGACCCUGUGCACAGCCAGCAGCUCGAACCCCACUGCAGCUCAGGUGGUAACAGUCCCGACGAACAGUCUGCUAGGACACACUCCUCAGCCGCCCCUACGACUCUGUUAAUCUGGCAAAAGCGCUGGGCCGAGCUCCCUCAACCCCAGCCUCAGCUUCCUGAGUGGCUCUGCACCUGCCCCUUCCUGGCCUCCUUCACCCGCAGUGUCCCUGGAAUGCAAGGUG